AGUUAAGUUAGAAAGGGCGCACGGUGGAUGCCUUGGCACUAGGAGCCGAUGAAGGACGGGACAAACACCGAUAUGCUUCGGGG
rnacentral:rRNA from 1 species